UACGUAGGGGGCGAGCGUUGUCCGGAUUUAUUGGGCGUAAAGAGCGUGUAGGCGGUUCGGUAAGUCUGUCGUGAAAUCCUGAGGCUCAACCUCGGGCGUGCGAUGGAUACUGCCGGGCUAGAGGGUGGUAGAGGCGAGUGGAAUUCCCGGUGUAGCGGUGAAAUGCGUAGAUAUCUGGAGGAACACCGGUGGCGAAGGCGACAUCCUGGACCGGUAUUGACGCUGAGGCGCGAAAGCCAGGGGAGCAAACGGG
rnacentral:rRNA from 1 species